rnacentral:antisense_RNA from 1 species
CACUGUGCCACGGGACCCUGGUCUUUGAAACCUUGGCGUGCGCGAGAAUUUCCCAGUGAGUUUGUUAAAAUGCAGAUUCCUCGGGUCUGCGUAGACAGACUGUGCCCCACGCUUUUCUAAGUCAGUUGUUUCUCGGGCUACCCUUUAAGAGACACUGCUGGAUGGCCUGGUGAAGAAAAUACAGAAACAGAUGGGUACAAGAACUAGGAAAACGGCUAAGAAAGUGUUUUGGUCCUGACUACUACCAUUUCGCUCUGUGAUUUGGGGCAAUUCACAUUGGCUUCCCUGCCCUUUCUUCUUUGUCAAAAGACAAAAUCACAACAAAUUUAGUUUAAAGAUUUUUUUUUUCUUAAGAGACGGACUCUGGCAAUGUUGCCCAGGCUGGAAGGCAGUGGCUAUUCACAGGUGCGGUCAUAGCAAUCAUGGCUAUCACAGGUGCAUCCUGGAACUCCUGGCCUCAAGUGAUCCUUCUGCCUCAGCCUCCGGAGUAGCUGGGACUUAAGGUAUGACAGAGCCAAAACUCCAAGUCAUGUCAGUAGGGCAUGCCCAAUAGAAAAUGCUUUGACAUCUAACAACACCCAGAACCAAUGAUUCCUCCCUGUGGUACCAAGAAGACCUAGACAUGAUCGGAACCUAAAUGCUGGAACUCUUUCGGGAGCAAAGGGUCUGUUGACCAGAAAGAUCCAGGGCUAAAAUCCACCUCAACAUACCUGUGUAGUCAAAUUUGACACCCUCCAAUCAGACCCUGCCAAGCUGGGUCUUAUACGUUUCCUUGCCAUCUGUAUUAGUCUGUUUUCACGCUGCUGAUAAAGACAU